AUUAGCACCCAAGCAGGACCUGCUGAACCUGGGGCCCUAUAGGAGAGCACUGAUGGCCCACCCCUGAUUGUGGCCCUGGUCUUCAUGUCUGCAUCAGCCUCAGCCAUCUCAAGACCACAACAGGAACAUAGCCAAGUCAGAGAAGGAAGACCAAAAGCACCAGGGCCCUUCAUAUUAUUAAGCUGCUAAAUUAACUAAUCUUGGAAACUUCUAGACUCUACAAUUCUUGUUGUAUGAGGGUUUAACAAGUUCAAGAGAGAAGAUAUUGGCCAAAUACAACACAGAGGCUAAACACAACACCUAUGUUGAUUGUUUGGUGCAUAAGAAUUGAGAUGAUGGAAAGAGGUCACUGUGAGCUUCAGGAAUAGCUUGAGGCUAACUGAUAAAACAGGAAAUCAUCUACUACAUAAAAUUCUGGUUUCAUACUUGGCCAUUCCUGCUUAACGGAGCUAACAAAGAAAUUUAAGGAGUGGAUUGACAAUUAUUCUCUGGACUUUUUGGUAACCAAGAACUUCUAGCAACUAACCCUGGCAUGACCACCAGAAUCUGCAGGGCUGAGAGAAGAAAGAAAGGCAAAAGUGGAUGAAUGCAGCUGAAGGAUGCUGUGGAACUCCUAUCACAUUCCAAGUGCUGUGUUGAUAUCUGGAGAUAUAGACAAGAUCGAAGCAGAUGCAGUCUUUCACAUGAAUAUUUGAAUCAGGCAGUAUGUUCCCCAAAUUAGCAAAGUAUCUCCCAGAUUUUUUCUUUGAUGAUAUAUUUGAAAUCCUAAUGCUGAAAGUUAAAUUAUCAGGGUUUUAAAACUAGAAGCAGUCAUUAUCAGAAUUUUAUAUACUAUUUAUUUUUAAGAACGUAAUUUGACUGUUUAAGUCUUAUUAUAAUUUUAAGUGAAGUACUUUGGGCAGUCAUAAAUAAAGUAAUGGGCAGGUAUUUAGUAGUUAAUGGAAUGGCUUCAAUAAUACAGUAAAAUUAAGAUAUUCAAACAAGCAGGAUGCAGGUGAUGGGUAUUGGCCUCAGCUUUAGAGACCAGAGGUUAAAUCUCAGUGCUGCCUGCCACAAAACGAUCCAUGUAAGUCAAUAAACAAUGCUUUUUAAAAUAUUAUUAUAAAGAUAUAGUGUGUGGAUCCCUCUCAAUUGUCCAUUCUUCCCUGUCACAAAAAUUUGCCUGCUUUUCGUUACCAUGUGAGAGGCAAAUGAAUUGAACUAAAUGGUUUCUAAUGCCCUGUCCACCUCUAAAAUUCUAUAGAACUGUGAUUUGAUUCCAAUGGGCCAUAUCAGGACUCGGCAUUAUUUUCAUCAGUGAACCAUUUCAUUAGAAAUUUAUUUUUCCAAAUGAUAUUAGUAAAUAUUGAAGGAGGCUUCUCCCACAGAGCUUCUUGUACAAAUUAAAACAGGGCAGUAGAAGGUUUUCAGGUUGG
rnacentral:lncRNA from 1 species